AAAAAAUGGCUGAAUCUAAGGAAUAGAAUGAAAAGAUACUCGCCUAGAAAAAAAAAGAUUGCAAAAAGAGUUGACCUUUUACGCGGAUGAAACAAAGUACUAUCCACACAUAAAAGAAAUAUGAUUGAGACGGGGAAAUUCUGUUCGGAGUUUAAUUGACGAAAAGAAUUGAUUUUCCUUCGAGAAAAAUAUAGAGAAU
rnacentral:lncRNA from 1 species